ACCUGCGGAAGGAUCAUUGUCGUGACCCUAACAAAAUGAGACUGUGAAUAUGUCAUCCUUGCCUCCGAGAGAUGGUCCAAGUACUAUCUCUCGGCAUAGGCCCUUGUCCUUCUUACGGAGGGUCCGGGGCUAAAAGAACCCACGGCGCCGUAUGGCGUCAAGGAACACUAUGUUGCUUGCUCAGGGCUACACUCACUUGUUGAAUGAGGCCUGCGCUGCGAUGCUACCAUAAUCCAUAAGACUCUCGGCAACGGAUAUCUUGGCUCUUGCAUCGAUGAAGAACGUAGCAAAAUGCGAUACCUGGUGUGAAUUGCAGAAUCCCGUGAACCAUCGAGUUUUUGAACGCAAGUUGCGCCUGAGGCCUCUCGGUUGAGGGCACGUCUGCCUGGGUGUCACGCCAAAAAUCACUCCCUUGUGACCCUUUUGGGGGGAUGUGGUGUUUGGCCUUCCAUUCCACUUAAACGGUGUGGUAGGCUAAAGUAAGUGGCUGCUGGCAAUGGUGCCAUUCACAGCACUUGGUGGAUGACACAUGUUGUUCUUGGAGUUGYGACUUGUACUGCUACCAGCAACACCGGCCYGUAAGACCCAUGGAUGAAGCAUCAAUUGCUUGCACCGCGACCCCAGGUC
rnacentral:rRNA from 1 species